UACGUAGGGUGCGAGCGUUAAUCGGAAUUACUGGGCGUAAAGCGUGCGCAGGCGGUCUGUUAAGACAGAUGUGAAAUCCCCGGGCUUAACCUGGGAACUGCAUUGGUGACUGGCGGGCUGGAGUAUGGCAGAGGGGGGUAGAAUUCCACGUGUAGCAGUGAAAUGCGUAGAGAUGUGGAGGAAUACCGAUGGCGAAGGCAGGUCUCUGGGCUAUAACUGACGCUCAUGC
rnacentral:rRNA from 1 species